rnacentral:tRNA from 1 species
UACAUAAAAGUGUAUGUUGCACGUAAAUUUUUGAUAUUUAAAGGUUUAGUUAAAUUCUAGGUUAUGUAA